UGACUAAGGGACAAAAAGAACAUUUGGAUCCACAACUGAAGGAUUUGCAAGAGGAUUUGCAAAAGGAUUUACAGAAUCAACAGAUUCAACAACAACAACAACAA
rnacentral:ribozyme from 1 species